CUAAUCUCUAAUUUACCUCACAUUAAAGGGACACUAUAGUCCCCAGAACCACUGCAGCUUAAUGUAGUGGUUCUGGUGUCUAGCCUGUCCCUGCAGGCCUUUUAAUGUAAACACGGCGGCACUGCAGCACUGGCAUUAGUUAACAUGGCAGACCAUAUAGGUGGGGCAUUGUGAUGUCACAUGGGGGGUGGCAAACUUUACUUUUGCCUAGGGCGGCAAAAAUCCUUGCACC